rnacentral:rRNA from 1 species
UACGUAGGGGGCAAGCGUUGUCCGGAAUCAUUGGGCGUAAAGCGCGCGUAGGCGGCUCGAUCAGUCUGCUGUGAAAGUCAAAGGCUCAACCUUUGAAUGCCGGUGGAUACUGUCGGGCUCGAGUCCGGAAGAGGCGAGUGGAAUUCCUGGUGUAGCGGUGAAAUGCGCAGAUAUCAGGAGGAACACCAAUGGCGAAGGCAGCUCGCUGGGACGGUACUGACGCUGAGACGCGAAAGCGUGGGGAGCAAACAGG